GGGUUGUGAGGUUAAGCGACUAAGCGUACACGGUGGAUGCCCUGGCAGUCAGAGGCGAUGAAGGACGUGCUAAUCUGCGAAAAGCGUCGGUAAGGUGAUAUGAACCGUUACAGCCGGCGAUGUCCGAAUGGGGAAACCCAGUGCAAUUCGUUGCACUAUCGUUAACUGAAUACAUAGGUUAACGAGGCGAACCGGGGGAACUGAAACAUCUAAGUACCCCGAGGAAAAGAAA
rnacentral:rRNA from 1 species